UGUCUGUCCGUCUGUCUGUCUGUCUCUAGGCUCUAACUCAAGAACAGUAAUAGUAAUUAGAGAGCUGAAAUUUUCGCAGAUUAAUAAAUGUAUUUCUGUUGCCGCUAUAUCAACCAAUACUAAAA